GGCAGCACUGCAGCAAUAGAGGGAGGGUUCACGAGACGUUUUCGCAUAUCGUAGCAGAGGUUACGUUCGAUUGCGUUUGAUGCAGCGAUAUCGUGUGUGUCUCUCGCCAUCCCUCGCGCUCGAAGAUAUCGCGCGUUAAUCGCGACACAUGGAGAGAACGAUGUCAGAACAGACGGCUUCGCAGACGCAAACGGAAACAAUCUCCGAGGCAGACGUCACCGAUUCCGGAUCGCAGGAUGUACCUACUGUACGAUUACGUCUACGAAUGCCGAAAUCGAAUAAAAAGGUUCAAUGGACUCAGGGAACCGUAGAUAAUGAAAAUUUAAAUAAAAAGAAAUCAAAAUGUUGUUGUAUUUAUGAGAAACCAAAAACUUUUGGUGAAAGUAGUUCUGAAGAUAGUGAUGAUGAAUGCGAACAUUGUCACGGACAUAAAGAUGCACAUAAGAAAGUCUUACCUAAGCCUGGUGAUCCUGCGCGAGAAGGAAUGUCGUCACAUCCUGAACCGAUUGCAACAGGUUCAACAUAAGUGUUUUUAUGCUUAUCUACUUAUUGACAACUUUUCUCUAAAUGGAAAAUAAAUUCCUUUGUAUUAUUUCUCAAGUAUGUAAUACUGAAAAAGAUGAUAUUAGGUACACAAACUUUAAAUAUGAUUUUGCACUAGUAUAUGUACUUAUAUUACAGUGCUUUAAUCGCACAGAAG